UACGUAGGGGGCGAGCGUUGUCCGGAUUUAUUGGGCGUAAAGAGCGUGUAGGCGGCCAGGUAGGUCUGCUGUGAAAACUCGAGGCUCAACCUCGAGACGUCGGCGGAAACCAUCUGGCUAGAGUCCGGAAGAGGAGAGUGGAAUUCCUGGUGUAGCGGUGAAAUGCGCAGAUAUCAGGAAGAACACCCGUGGCGAAGGCGGCUCUCUGGGACGGUACUGACGCUGAGACGCGAAAGCGUGGGGAGCGAACGGG
rnacentral:rRNA from 1 species